GACGAACGCUGGCGGCGUGCUUAACACAUGCAAGUCGAACGGAAAGGCCCUGCUUUUGUGGGGUGCUCGAGUGGCGAACGGGUGAGUAACACGUGAGUAACCUGCCCUUGACUUUGGGAUAACUUCCGGAAACUGGGGCUAAUACCGGAUAGGAGCUCCUGCUGCAUGGUGGGGGUUGGAAAGUUUCGGCGGUUGGGGCUGGGCUCGCGGCUUAUCAGCUUGUUGGUGGGGUAGUGGCUUACCAAGGCUUUGACGGGUAGCCGGCCUGAGAGGGUGACAGGGCACAUAGGGACUGAGAUAGGACCCGUAGUGCUACGGGAGGCAGGAGUGAGAAAUAUUGCACGAUGGGCGGAAGCCGGAUGCAGCAACGCCGCGUGCGGGAUGACGGCCUUCGGGUUGUAAACCGCUUUCGCCUGUGACGAAGCGUGAGUGACGGUAAUGGGUAAAGAAGCACCGGCUAACUACGUG
rnacentral:rRNA from 1 species